rnacentral:rRNA from 1 species
UGGGGAAUAUUGCGCAAUGGGCGGAAGCCUGACGCAGCGACGCCGCGUGGGGGAUGAAGGCCUUCGGGUUGUAAACCUCUUUCAGCGCCGAAGAAGCGUGAGUGACGGUAGGCGCAGAAGAAGCACCGGCUAACUACGUGCCAGCAGCCGCGGUAAUACGUAGGGUGCAAGCGUUGUCCGGAAUUAUUGGGCGUAAAGAGCUCGUAGGCGGUUUGUCGCGUCUGCUGUGAAAACUCGGGGCUUAACUCCGGGCUUGCAGUGGGUACGGGCAGACUGGAGUGCGGUAGGGGAGACUGGAAUUCCUGGUGUAGCGGUGAAAUGCGCAGAUAUCAGGAGGAACACCGGUGGCGAAGGCGGGUCUCUGGGCCGUAACUGACGCUGAGGAGCGAAAGCGUGGGGAGCGAACA